UGAGUUUGAUUCUGGCUCAGAAUGAACGCUGGCGGCAUGCCUAACACAUGCAAGUCGAACGAGAUCUUCGGAUCUAGUGGCGCACGGGUGAGUAACGCGUGGGAACCUACCUUUUAGUACGGGACAACGUUUGGAAACGAACGCUAAUACCGUAUACGCCCUCCGGGGGAAAGGUCAGCCGCUGAAAGAGGGGCCCGCGUCUGAUUAGCUUGUUGGUAAGGUAACGGCUUACCAAGGCAACGAUCAGUAGCUGGUCUGAGAGGAUGAUCAGCCACACUGGGACUGAGACACGGCCCAGACUCCUACGGGAGGCAGCAGUGGGGAAUAUUGGACAAUGGAGGCAACUCUGAUCCAGCAAUGCCGCGUGUGUGAUGAAGGCCCUAGGGUUGUAAAGCACUUUCAACGGUGAAGAUGAUGACGGUAGCCGUAGAAGAAGCCCCGGCUAACUUCGUGCCAGCAGCCGCGGUAAUACGAAGGGGGCGAGCGUUAUUCGGAAUUAUUGGGCGUAAAGGGCUCGCAGGCUGCUUGAACAGUUAGACGUGAAAUCCCCGGGC
rnacentral:rRNA from 1 species